GUGUCAGACAGUUUUCUAGCCACAUAUUAGGCCCUUUUACCAAAUGAGCAUGUUUUUAUUGGCCAAACAUACCAAUGCAUUGUUACUGAACAUGUGCAUUCCUUUGUGUCCAACAUCAAACCAUUUUUAAAUAGAUGUUUCCAGCAUGAUUUUAUGCCAGUUCAGAAAACAGGCUUUAUGUCAAGCUGCCUUCACAAACACAAGAGUGACACCAGUAUAAAAAAGGGCCAAAGAGCCCCGAGACCUCAAUCCUGUGUUGGGAUGAGCUAGAAAGUUAUGUAU